rnacentral:lncRNA from 1 species
UGACGUGGUUGGUGAAUGGAAGGUGACUAGAACACAUGUUGGGGACUUGUGUGCUGACCUGUAAAUACUUCCUUCACAUGACUGAUUACACACUCUCUCCUUGCCUUAGUGUGUGUGUGUGUGAGUAUGUGUGUGUGUGUGAGUGUGUGUGUGUAUGUGUGUGUGUAUAUGUGUGAGUAUGUGUGUGUGUGUGUAUGUGUGUGUGUAGGUCAGAUGUCAAUGACGAUGGCAUCAGGAGGUGAUAAGGUCAAGAGGGCGAAGCCCUCGGGAUUGGAAUCCUGCUGGCUUCAAAGGGAGCUGCCUGCACCCCACCCCGCAGAAGGACCCAUGGAGAGC